rnacentral:rRNA from 1 species
CCUACGGGGGGCAGCAGUGGGGAAUUUUGGACAAUGGGCGAAAGCCUGAUCCAGCCAUGCCGCGUGAGUGAAGAAGGCCUUCGGGUUGUAAAGCUCUUUCGCAAGGGAAGAAAACUUACUCAAUAACACUGGGUGAGGCUGACGGUACCUUGAUAAGAAGCACCGGCUAACUACGUGCCAGCAGCCGCGGUAAUACGUAGGGUGCGAGCGUUAAUCGGAAUUACUGGGGGGAAAUCGUGCGCAGGAUGUGAAAUCCCCGGGCUCAACCUGGGAACGGCGUUUGGAACUGCAAGGCUAGAGUGUGUCAGAGGGAGGUAGAAUGCCACGUGUAGCAGUGAAAUGCGUAGAGAUGUGGAGGAAUACCGAUGGCGAAGGCAGCCUCCUGGGAUAACACUGACGCUCAUGCUCGAAAGCGUGGGGAGCAAACAGGAUUAGAUACCCGGGUAGUC